rnacentral:rRNA from 1 species
UACGUAGGGGGCAAGCGUUGUCCGGAUUUAUUGGGCGUAAAGAGCGUGUAGGCGGCUGGGUAGGUCCGUUGUGAAAACUCGAGGCUCAACCUCGAGACGCCGAUGGAAACCCUCCAGCUAGAGUCCGGAAGAGGAGAGUGGAAUUCCUGGUGUAGCGGUGAAAUGCGCAGAUAUCAGGAGGAACACCGAUGGCGAAGGCAGAUCUCUGGGCCGUAACUGACGCUGAGGAGCGAAAGCGUGGGGAGCGAACAGG